CCAUCAGCUGAUUAGCGCCAGCUGUGGCUGAUCAGCGGGCCUAUUUCGCUAACACCAUGAGGGUUUUGCCUCAUGACUGGGCUUUGAUAGUAACCUGAGCCACAAUA
rnacentral:snoRNA from 1 species